UGAGUUUUCUUAUUUUAACUAUCUUUCAAGGGCACGCUUUUCUUUGGAGAAAAGCCUUUAUCCGCACCGGGCCCCGGGGUCGUUGUUCCGUGUGUCCCCCCCCCCCCAUUUCCCCCUUUUCGUCACCAUAUCUGGGGUUGCAAAAAAUCCGCAAGGCAGCUGCGAUGGCAGCAAAGGGAAAUAUAAAACUCCAACUCAUCCGGAUUUUUGCAGUUCGAAUGUAGCAUCCUAAUUUUUGCGCCGGAGAUAAUAAGUAGACGGAAAACGGGACAAUGGGAGGAAAUUUUUUUUUAAAAGCAGCAAACCAUAUUUGUCUUCCUGUGACGAAAAUUGCAGAGAUGGAUCCCUGCUGUCGCCUGGAAUCAAGUUGAUUUAAAGGAGAUCCGGUUUUUAUCACGGGGGCAUUGAAGUCAGUUGUUUUCACUCCAUGGUGACAAAACCUAACAGUGCGAAGAAAUAGAUAAUUAAUAUUUGUCACCAGUGUUUACUUACAUCAAUCUAAUGGAUAAGAGAUCUAACCAUUCAGGACAGUAUGGAAGUGCCAACUUCUCACCAUUUAAAGCAGUAACAUGAAAAUAACACUGAGAGAGAAAUAGUUUUUGACUGGAAGAUCAACUACAUUGCUCAACAAAAAAAGUUGAUUGGGAAAAAGAAUUUACAGAGGUGCUGAAAUAUACAAGUGCACACACCUGUAAGACCUCAAGAUGAUCACUCUCAUUUUUUUUAUUUUGUGGGAUGGGAACAUUAGCAAUACUUUAUCAAAUAUUUUCUUACUGCUUAUUUUUAUCCAUGUCAAGUUAAACA